AAGUCGUAACAAGGUUUCCGUAGGUGAACCUGCGGAAGGAUCAUUCAAGUAAAAAUUCUUAAUGAAUUGAACAACUAUGUGAACUUAAAGAAUUGAGGUGGUAGAAGGCGACUUUGAGCGCGCUACCACUUUUUGUAUUAACGUAUUUCUUUACACUUUCUGAUUGUAAAUAAUAAACUUUAUACAACUUUUAGCAACGGAUCUCUAGGCUCUC
rnacentral:misc_RNA from 1 species